AUGGUUGUCGUCAGCUCGUGUCGUGAGAUGUUGGGUUAAGUCCCCGCAACGAGCGCAACCCUUAUCUUUAGUUACCAUCAUUAAGUUGGGACUCUAAAGAUACUGCCCCGUUAACGGGGAGGAAGUGGGGAUGACGUCAAGUCCUCAUGGCCUUUAUGUCCAGGGCUACACACGUGCUACAAUGGGUUGUACAAAGGGUUGCGAACCCGCGAGAGUAAGCCAAUCCCAAAAAGCAACUCUUAGUUCGGAUUGGAGUCUGCAACUCGACUCCAUGAAGCUGGAAUCGCUAGUAAUCGUGGAUCAGCAUGCCACGGUGAAUACGUUCCCGGGCCUU
rnacentral:rRNA from 1 species